rnacentral:rRNA from 1 species
AGCAGUAAGGGAAUCUUCCACAAUGGGCGAAAGCCUGAUGGAGCAACGCCGCGUGUGUGAUGAAGGGUUUCGGCUCGUAAAACACUGUUGUAAGAGAAGAAUGACAUUGAGAGUAACUGUUCAAUGUGUGACGGUAUCUUACCAGAAAGGAACGGCUAAAUACGUGCCAG